GAUGAACGCUGGCGGCGUGCCUAACACAUGCAAGUCGAGCGAUUCUCUUCGGAGAAGAGCGGCGGACGGGUGAGUAACGCGUGGGUAACCUGCCCUGUACACACGGAUAACAUACCGAAAGGUAUGCUAAUACGAGAUAAUAUGCUUUUAUCGCAUGGUAGAAGUAUCAAAGCUCCGGCGGUACAGGAUGGACCCGCGUCUGAUUAGCUAGUUGGUAAGGUAACGGCUUACCAAGGCGACGAUCAGUAGCCGACCUGAGAGGGUGAUCGGCCACAUUGGAACUGAGACACGGUCCAAACUCCUACGGGAGGCAGCAGUGGGGAAUAUUGCACAAUGGGCGAAAGCCUGAUGCAGCAACGCCGCGUGAGCGGUGAAGGCCUUCGGGUCGUAAAGCUCUGUCCUCAAGGAAGAUAAUGACGGUACUUGAGGAGGAAGCCCCGGCUAACUACGUGCCAGCAGCCGCAGUAA
rnacentral:rRNA from 1 species